rnacentral:rRNA from 1 species
UCUGGUGGCGAUAGCGAAGAGGUCACACCCGUUCCCAUACCGAACACGGAAGUUAAGCUCUUUAGCGCCAAUGGUAGUUGGGACUUUGUCCCUGCGAGAGUAGGACGUUGCCAGGC